AAGUUUUAAACGUCUUAAAAGUGAAUUGUACUCAGUAGUAAUUGAUGCUUGUUUUACUGGCCAAGUGCUAACUAUUCCAAGACACCGCUCGACACUGAAGAUGGAUGGAGUACGUUUCUCGUAGGUUACGCGUCUAUAUCGUAAGAGAUAGUUAUGGCGGGCAUCACCGGAAGAAUCGAAAUUUGACUUCAUUAAAUUCGAAGUUGGCGUCGGUUGCUGUGGUAACGUCCAUUGAUGGCGUGGAUGUAAGUUCAUGGAAAUGUCUCUGCAUCAGGAUGAAGAUGGACAAGAUUUCCAAAACAGCAAAGAAUUAAUUCCUCAUAGAUUUGCUUCAGGGUGAAAUUGGGAUCACAGGUUUGGCAGUGACCUACCACUGGAAAUGUGGCAGACAGUGUGUACACAUGAUGCGGUUCCUCCCCAUUCUUCUCACUUUGCCAUGCGGUAUUUAAACAGCCACUUUCCUAGUCAGCAGGUAGGAAGAAAUGGACCAGUUGUGUGGGCUCCGUGAUGACGCCAUCUCACUCCUGCCAACUUCAACUUGUGGGACUUUGUGAAGACCAUCAUUUACAGCGAGCAAUGUGAGGUGCAGAGUGAGCUGUGGAAUGCCAUUGAAGCGGCUGGGACAACAGUAUGCAGCAUAGCCUGAAGUCUUUCAUUGGACCACGAGUUCUUGGCACAUCAGGGCUCAUUUAUGUAUUGACUGUAAUGUUGGGCACAUGUCAAUAAGAUCUUUUGUAAACCAUCAGUAACUGACCAGGUGUCAUUCUACUUACAGCUAAUAAACUCUUUAUCCACAACUAUGUUA